rnacentral:rRNA from 1 species
AUUGAACGCUGGCGGCAGGCCUAACACAUGCAAGUCGAGCGGAGAUGAGGUGCUUGCACCUUAUCUUAGCGGCGGACGGGUGAGUAAUGCUUAGGAAUCUGCCUAUUAGUGGGGGACAACAUUCCGAAAGGAAUGCUAAUACCGCAUACGUCCUACGGGAGAAAGCAGGGGAUCUUCGGACCUUGCGCUAAUAGAUGAGCCUAAGUCGGAUUAGCUAGUUGGUGGGGUAAAGGCCUACCAAGGCGACGAUCUGUAGCGGGUCUGAGAGGAUGAUCCGCCACACUGGGACUGAGACACGGCCCAGACUCCUACGGGAGGCAGCAGUGGGGAAUAUUGGACAAUGGGGGGAACCCUGAUCCAGCCAUGCCGCGUGUGUGAAGAAGGCCUUAUGGUUGUAAAGCACUUUAAGCGAGGAGGAGGCUACUGAGACUAAUACUCUUUGAUAGUGGACGUUACUCGCAGAAUAAGCACCGGCUAACUCUGUGCCAGCCGCCGCGGUAA